GGAAACUCUGUAUGGUUCCAGUAUAUGACCCUUCUAUUCCCUGUGGAGAGGAGAAAGCAAUAGCUGGGGCUGCGUACUGCUACAGGGUCAGCUGGGGCUCUCUGCUGCAAUAGGACCUACUGGACCAUCUGUGGGUUCCCUGUGUGCACAGGUCACAAGUUCUCAAAUCGUUUCCAGGUUUUGUUGAAUGUAGCUUCAAAAUCAAAUGGAAGAACGGAGGGUAGGCUGAGUGGAGAACAGAAGCAUAUACAGCCUGUGGAAGAGGUGAGAAAAGGGCAUAUUGAACCGCCUGUGAAGAGAAAGGAAA